GCGGGUAUGGCGGAAUUGGUAGACGCAGGGGAUUCAAAAUCCCCCGGUGGCAACACCUUGUCGGUUCGAGUCCGACUACCCGUACCA
rnacentral:tRNA from 1 species